UAUUUUUAAGUUUUAUCCGAUCUAGUUCAUAUUGUACAUAGUUUUAAAAUAUUAGCUCUUGUAAAUUCAAAAUUUAUGUUCUUGCAACCAUUGUUUUUAAAAGCUAUAGAGUUAAUCUGUAUUCUCACAAUCAUUGCUUUCACUAUCGCUUCUUCUCACAUCCUUUACAUAUGCUUCAAAGGGCCGUCCACCAUUACUGCUUCUCCCCCUAUGUCACCUGGUUGCAAUGUAAAAAAAUUGAAGAGUAGAAGUCCACCAUUGAAGACCAUUCAAAGCUUGCUUUCGAAAAUAGAAUUUUUUUUAGUUUGUUAGUUAUUUGGAUUGUGUGUUGUUCCAGUUGAUUGUAAAUAUUAAAAGGAGUUCAAAAUUCAAAUUUGAAGUGAUUUGGAGUAGAUUUGAGUUAAAUUUCAGAAAAGACGCAAGGAAAAAAACGAAGUCAGUUUUUUGUAUAAUUAUGCAUAAUCUUGUAUAAUACUGUAUAUGAGUGUAUAAACAUAUCUUAUACACUAUUAUGCACUUUUAUAUACAUUUAUAGAAGAGUCUGUAUACGAACUUCUUUCACGAUUUUCAGUUGUAAUUCUUGUUCAAAACCAGUCCAAAUCUUCAUUAAAUGACUUCAAAUUUUACGUACAACCUCCUUAUACUAUUUCUAACAAUUCUAAAUAAAACCCACUCCCAAGUUCUCACAGAAUCAAAUUUGUAAUCUAAACUCAUAUUGUAUAACCUCCAUAUACUAUUUCUAACAAGUCUAAAUAACAUCCACUUCAAAUUUCUCACAAAAUCAAAUUCAAAAUUUAAACUCACAUAUUAAAACUUGUUAAAAAUUUAAUUUUCAUCACUCAAAUGGAUUUGGUUUGUAAGAUUCAAGGCUAUUCCUUUCACACCGCUGGCAACUUCAACCAUUUCCCCAGCUUGAAUCUCGUUCAAUCCAUAAACACGUGCAAUCCCAUCUCCAACUGAGACCACUCGACCGAUCUCAUCCACUUGAAAAUUGGUGUAAAAGUUGCUAAUUCGACUUUCUAAUAGACUUGUUAGUUCCGCAGCUCGGGGAGAAAGUUCCAUAAUUCAAUUCAAGAAAACUAAUAUUUGAGUCACAGUUACUUAUUCGAAAAUUAACUUAAAAGUUUGAGCGAUUCUUUUUUAAAAUUAAAUAGUAACUUUGAUAAACUAUUGGAGUUGGAUGUUGAAUUUUAGCCUAUUAUUUUUGAGCUAAUUGAUUGUAAAUUAAAAUAUGAGUUAUAAAAUUAAAAAAUAGGAAGCUCAGUUAUUCUUAUGUGAAAUUUUCCGAAAAAUAAACAUAUACAUGAACCGCUAAUAUAUUACUAAGCGCUUCAUACUAAUCAGCCUUUGAAAUAUUUUUUUUCCUAUUUCGCAUAUCAAUCCCAAAAAUUUGAAGGUUUUAAUUUAAACGCACUCAGUGUUACUACACUCCUGAAUUUUCGAUUGAAGAUUGAUUAAAGUUGUAGAAAAAAGCAAAUACUACUUGUAACACAAAUUAGACCAACAGGUCUGAAAGGUGCCAAAUAGAACACAAGUGUAAAGCAUAUCAUCACUUUUGCUACAAUUUAAAUAUGCAAAGGCUGGUCCUGAAAAACAGCCAACCAAAGUCGAGGAAACUAAGUUUUUGCAGUAACGAAGUUGUUGCUGUCAUUCUAAAUAAGAAACAAGAACAUUCAUGAACUAAAUCUUUAUAAAUCAAUGUUGAAAAGAACUCACCAAUAGGACACGAGAGGGAAUUAGUACUAUCAUUCCACCAGGAGACGUCACAAAUCCCAAACAGAGGUGAAGAAUGAUAACCUUACCAGCUAAACUGUACUAAUCUUUCUGAUACUCAGCGUUUUCUUUUUGUUGUUGUUGAAGAUAAGCAGAUUGCUUGUAGGGGUAGUUUAUACUUCUUCAAACUAAGAAUGAAUGUACAAAAUUAUUUAACUUGAAGUGACACAAUUUUACUUGGUAAAACUAUGCAAUGAAGAACAAUAGAGUUAUCCCCUCAUUCCUUUUCAAA
rnacentral:lncRNA from 1 species